GAUGAACGCUGGCGGCGUGCCUAACACAUGCAAGUUGAGCGAUUCACUUCGGUGAAGAGCGGCGGACGGGUGAGUAACGCGUGGGUAACCUGCCUCAUACACAUGGAUAACAUACCGAAAGGUAUGCUAAUACAAGAUGACAUAAGAGAUUCGCAUGAAUUUCUUAUCAAAGCUCCGGCGGUAUGAGAUGGACCCGCGUCUGAUUAGCUAGUUGGUAAGGUAACGGCUUACCAAGGCGACGAUCAGUAGCCGACCUGAGAGGGUGAUCGGCCACAUUGGAACUGAGACACGGUCCAAACUCCUACGGGAGGCAGCAGUGGGGAAUAUUGCACAAUGGGCGAAAGCCUGAUGCAGCAACGCCGCGUGAGCGAUGAAGGCCUUCGGGUCGUAAAGCUCUGUCCUCAAGGAAGAUAAUGACGGUACUUGAGGAGGAAGCCCCGGCUAACUACGUGCCAGCCGCCGCGGUAACAC
rnacentral:rRNA from 1 species